GGAUAGGAUAACACAUCCCAGCCGAGCUGCAGCAAUUUUUGUCUGGUUCUCAAAGCAUCAAGUGCCGAAAAUGUACUUUCUUAUCUUCCAUUUGAAAGGGUGACGGAAUUAACACAGGCAUAUCGGAAAAGCGU